UAUAAUGGGCAGAGGAAGCCAGGGCCCUCUCACCACUACUGGAUAUGCUCCAACUGGGGCCUCAGUAUAAAAGGGACUCAGCUGGGCCUGACUGCUGAGGAGAGAGGAUGCACGCUGCAGGCUUCCUUCUGGGAGCUGCUGGAGCGCCUGAGCACGGAGGCCAAGCAUGCUCAGAUCCAGGCAGAUAUCUGGCUGCCCACAGAAGCCCAAGAGGAGAUGGAGUUGUUGGGAGAUUCACAAGCCAAUGAGCCCAGAGGCCCAGGAGACCAGUGGACAGCAUUGCUGGGAAACGGUAUAAAGUAACCACAGGUUCAUAGGUUUCAAGGGCGAAGGGACUAUUAGAUCAUCAACUUUCAUCCUAUUAUACCUGUAUUGGGCUCAGCAACUUAUUUGAUGAAAGCAUAUCUUCCAGAGUGACAUCCGGUCUUGAUAUGAGGACAUCAGGAGAUGCAGAAUUCACAAUUUUCCUUGAUAGCUUGUUCCAAUGGUUAAUAACCCUCACUAUUAGAAUUUUGAGCCUUAUUUCUAAUUUGAAUUUGUCUGGCUUUAGCUUCCAGUCAUUGGUUCUUAUGCCUGCUAGAGUAAAGUGUCUCCCCUUGAAUGUACUUGUACACACCAUUAUCAAGUUACCUCAUGAUCUUUUAGAUGCCUAAAGACUGAGGAAUGUCAGCUGAGUUGGUUUAGAGUUAUGCAUAUUUGGAGUUGGUACAAUACCCUGGAUUAAUACUAUGUUGACAAUUGUACUGAACAUUUCAGGACAGCUUUUCAGAGUAAGACAGCCCCGAGUUAAUGAACAACAUCUUUGGAGGCCAAAGGAUAGCUGGGUUCAAGAUUGCUUAAUUUUUUUACAAACAAAGACUUAAUCAAGGCAAGUCUUAAGACUGCAUGUGUUGUAAUUUCAAAUAUAUGGUUAUAUAAGAAAUUCUACUUUAUUACAGCAUAUCAUAUGUGUUUAACAAAUAUAUUCCAGUUGAAAAUGACAUUAGAACAGCCAUAAUAAGGCUGCAACGUGAAGUGCUCAGAAGUUCACAGAUACCAGAAUUAAGAAUCCAUGCAGCCUUAAUCCUGUCCUCCUUUGCAUAUUUAUUUAAUUACAUCAACUUCUUUCCCACAGGACCCUUACCUCAAUCAGGACAGAAGAUGCUAUUGUUAUGGUUUUGUAAUUUUCACAGUUUGUAGUACACAUACUCCUAAUGCAAGGCAUGUUGUAUGUGAUGUAGGAUUUUUUUUAAAUGUACUGCACAAUUAAAGCCUUAACAUAUCAUUAAGAAAUACACUGUGCCCAAACAAGAAAAAAAAAACUGUAUUCAUUUGUUCACCUUUUAAUCAUUAGCUGUACACUGCACUGCAGAAGUUUCUCUAAAUAAAAACAAAAGAUGGUAACAUAA